rnacentral:rRNA from 1 species
AGCGGCGGACGGGUGAGUAACGCGUGGGAACGUGCCCUUCAGUACGGAAUAGCCUAGGGAAACUUGGAUUAAUGCCGUAUACGCCCUACGGGGGAAAGAUUUAUCGCUGAAGGAUCGGCCCGCGUCCGAUUAGGUAGUUGGUGAGGUAAUGGCUCACCAAGCCGACGAUCAGUAGCUGGUUUGAGAGGAUGAUCAGCCACACUGGGACUGAGACACGGCCCAGACUUCUACGGAAGGCAGCAGUGGGGAAUCUUGGACAAUGGGGGAAACCCUGAUCCAGCCAUGCCGCGUGAGUGAAGAAGGCCUUAGGGUUGUAAAGCUCUUUCAACGGUGAAGAUAAUGACGGUAGCCGUAGAAGAAGCCCCGGCUAACUCCGUGCCAGCAGCCGCGGUAAUACGGAGGGGGCUAGCGUUGUUCGGAAUUACUGGGCGUAAAGCGCGCGUAGGCGGACUAGCAAGUCAGGGGUGAAAUCCCGGAGCUCAACUCCGGAACUGCCCUUGAUACUGCUAUGUCUGGAGUUCUGGAGAGGUGAGUGGAAUUCCGAGUGUAGAGGUGAAAUUCGUAGAUAUUCGGAGGAACACCAGCGGCGAAGGCGGCUCACUGGCCAGAUACUGACGCUGAGGCGCGAAAGCGUGGGUAGCAAACAGGAUUAGAUACCCUGGUAGUCCAC